GUAGGAGGCAAGCGUUAUCCGGAUUUACUGGGCGUAAAGGGCGUCUAGGCGGUGUCUUAAGUUGGGCGUGAAAUCUCCCGGCUCAACUGGGAGGGGCCGUUCAGUACUGAGACACUUGAGGGCAGGAGAGGAAAGCGGAAUUCCCGGUGUAGUGGUGGAAUACUCAGAUAUCGGGAGGAACACCAGUGGCGAAGGCGGCUUUCUGGCCUGCAUCUGACGCUGAAGCGCGAAAGCGUGGGGAGCGAACGGGAUUAGAUACCCCGGGUAGUCCACGCUGUAAACGAUGGAUACUAGGUGUUGGUGGUUAUUAACCCCCCCAUCAGUGCCGCAGCUAACGCAUUAAGUAUCCCGCCUGGGGGACUACGGCCGCAAGGCUA
rnacentral:rRNA from 1 species